rnacentral:tRNA from 1 species
GCCCCCGUUGUCUAAUGGUUAUGACGUCAGACUUCUAUUUACCCAGUGUGUACGGAUAUGAAUCUGGAGGUUGCGGGUUCGAGUCCCGCCGGGGGUU